ACCUUUAGUUCAUACUUCCCUCUGUGCUUCAGGAAGAUUCGAGAGGGACUCUAGAUGCCCUGCCAGAUUCUAAAACAGCCCCCGAGUCAGGGGUUUUCCCGGGACUCUGAGCGUGACCUCAUGACGGCAGGAAAACAGCAUUGCCCUGGGUUGCAGUCGGUUCAGUUACGAGCCCGAGGAAGGAGCACCAGCCCCCGGCUCAGCCGUGGCAACAGAGACUGGGCAUUUGGCAAGGUUACGCUCGAGGGCUGAGGAGAGACAGACCGCCGACCUUCAGGCACCGCUCGGCCACUGCACAGCAGAGCAGGCUCCCUUCCAGAGCCAGAGCGCCCUUCCCCAGGUACAUCUUUGGCAAACUGGGAUGUCCAUCUUUGGGGUGUUCCCUUUCCGUGGGUGGGGAGUACAGACUGGCUGCCUGCUCACUCAGCCUAUUUCUUCCUCCCAGGCACAAAGACAGACCACAUCUCCCAGCUUCCUUGUGGUGGGAUGAGAGUUUAGGACUGGAUUCCAACGCCAAUAAAACGUCAGAAAAAAUUAUGCUUGCCACUUACAGGGUCUGCCAUAAAGUAAUGGACAUGGUUGUCCAUGCUUCUCUCCCCUUCCAUGGCAGCCCUAGCAAUCAUGAGGGGAAAAAAAGGAAUGUCACAGGAUGGAAAGAGCCAAGAUCCCUGGAGGAGCACUGCCCACCCCUUGUCAAACUGUAACAUGAGUGGGAAAUAACAUUUUAUUGUAUUGAGCCAUGAGAUUUGGGGUACGUUUGUUAUAGCACCUAAUAUAAAUUAUCCUGACUAAAAUACAACUCUAUGCAAGUAUAUAUGUUAGUAGGAACGCCUUCAAAUACAAGUGACUAAAAAACCAGCCAAAGUGGCAUAAAGAAAUCUAAAGUUGUUUUCCUGCCUAACAAGCAGUCUGGGAAUAGACAAUAUAAGGAUGGAUCAGCUGCUCAAACACACAGACCCUAUCUAUCUUUUUGCUUGGCCAUGCUUGGUCAUUGGCUUUUGUCUUCAGGCUCACCAACUCAUAGUCACAAGAUGGCUGCUGUACCGCUGACAUUUUACUUGCAUCCCAGGCAGGAAGAAAAGAAUAGGAAAAGGGCUGGAGAGAUAUGCCAGCCAAAUCUGUCCCAUCUAUCCAACUUUUACUUACAUUUUAUUCGCCAUAACUCUAUCACAUGCCCUCCUCUGACCAAUGAAUGAUUGGUCCAUGGGAAUGAUAUUAUUAAGCCUGUUUUAGUCCAGUGGUGAUUCAUUUCCUGGGACCGGGGUGGGGGUUCACACUCCCUUUGAUCCGUGAGCCUACAUGACUGCCUAAACAAACUGCAGCUCUGUCGAUGGACGGAAGACUGGAGUGAAACAGAGGGUGGUCAGUAGAGGACGGAAGACUGGAGUGAAACAGAUGGGUGGUCAGUAGAGGCCCCCAGUGGUUGGCAUCCUCCCAUCCUUCCUUCCAUUCACCACAUCCCUUUCUCCAGAAAAGAUUGCCCUUAAGAGAGACCAAAGGCUUUGCUGUACAGCAGAAAUUGACAUAGUAUUGUAAAUCAACGUUACUUUAAUUUAAAAUUUUUUAAUUAAAGAAAUUUUUUAAAUGAGAAACCAAAG
rnacentral:lncRNA from 1 species